rnacentral:rRNA from 1 species
UACGUAGGGUGCGAGCGUUGUCCGGAAUUACUGGGCGUAAAGAGCUCGUAGGUGGUUUGUCGCGUUGUUCGUGAAAACUCACAGCUUAACUGUGGGCGUGCGGGCGAUACGGGCAGACUGGAGUACUGCAGGGGAGACUGGAAUUCCUGGUGUAGCGGUGGAAUGCGCAGAUAUCAGGAGGAACACCGGUGGCGAAGGCGGGUCUCUGGGGCCGUAACUGACGCUGAGGAGCGAAAGCGUGGGGAGCGAACAGG